rnacentral:rRNA from 1 species
CAGUAGCCACGGGAAAACGGAGGGUGCAAGCGUUAUCCGGAUUUAUUGGGUUUAAAGGGUCCGUAGGCGGAUCUGUAAGUCAGUGGUGAAAUCUCACAGCUUAACUGUGAAACUGCCAUUGAUACUGCAGGUCUUGAGUAAAUUUGAAGUGGCUGGAAUAAGUAGUGUAGCGGUGAAAUGCAUAGAUAUUACUUAGAACACCAAUUGCGAAGGCAGGUCACUAAGAUUUAACUGACGCUGAUGGACGAAAGCGUGGGGAGCGAACAGGAUUAGAUACCCCAGUAGUCCCUGUCUCUUAUAA